rnacentral:piRNA from 1 species
CGGCGGCGGCUGCGAACGGGAGCGGAGG